UUGGGGAUUUAGCUCAGCGGAAGAGCGCUUGCCUAGCGAGCGCAAGGCCCUGGGUUCGGUCCCCAGCUCCAAA
rnacentral:tRNA from 1 species